UACGAAGGGGGCUAGCGUUGUUCGGAAUUACUGGGCGUAAAGCGCGCGCAGGCGGUCCUUUAAGUCAGGGGUGAAAGCCCAGAGCUCAACUCUGGAACUGCCUUUGAAACUAGAGGACUUGGGUACGGGAGAGGUGAGUGGAAUUCCGAGUGUAGAGGUGAAAUUCGUAGAUAUUCGGAAGAACACCAGUGCGAAGGCGGCUCACUGGCCCGUUACCGACGCUCAGGCGCGACAGCGUGGGGAGCAAACAGG
rnacentral:rRNA from 1 species